rnacentral:rRNA from 1 species
AACGUAGGUGGCAAGCGUUUAUCCGGAAUUACUGGGCGUAAAGGGUGUGCAGGCGGGGUGGCAAGUGGUGUAUGAAAUCUCCCAGCUUAACUGGGAUAGGUUAUGCCAGACUGCUACUCUAGAGGACGAGAGAGGGGCGUGGAAUUCCGGGUGUAGUGGUGAAAUGCGUAGAGAUCCGGAGGAACCCCAGAGGCGAAGGCGGCGCCCUGGCUCGCAACUGACGCUCAGACACGGACAGCAUGGGGGAGCGGAACGGG